rnacentral:rRNA from 1 species
GUCGAGAAUAUUCCACAAUGGCCGAAAGGCUGAUGGAGCGACGCCGCGUGCAGGAAGAAGCCCUUCGGGGUGUAAACUGCUUUUUUUAGGGACGAACAAAUGACGGUACCUAAAGAAUAAGAGGUUGCUAACUCUGUGCCAGCAGCAGCGGUAAUACAGAGACCUCAAGCGUUAUCCGGAUUUACUGGGCGUAAAGCGUCCGCAGGUGGUAUGAUAAGUUUUUGGUUAAAUGCCACGGCUCAACCGGGGAAGUGCCAAAAAUACUGUCAAACUUGAGAUCGGGAGAGGUAAGCGGAACUGCCGGUGUAGCGGUAGAAUGCGUUAAUAUCGGCAGGAACACCAAAGGCGAAGGCAGCUUACUAGAACGAUUCUGACACUCAUGGACGAAAGCGUGGGGAGCAAAAGGGAUUAGAUACCCCAGUAGUCC